rnacentral:rRNA from 1 species
GACGAACGCUGGCGGCGUGCUUAACACAUGCAAGUCGAACGCUGAAGCUCAGCUUUUGUUGGGUGGAUGAGUGGCGAACGGGUGAGUAACACGUGAGUAACCUGCCUCCUUCUUUGGGAUAACGCCCGGAAACGGGUGCUAAUACUGGAUAUUCACUGGUCUUCGCAUGGGGGUUGGUGGAAAGGGUUUUUCUGGUGGGGGAUGGGCUCGCGGCCUAUCAGCUUGUUGGUGGGGUGAUGGGCUACCAAGGCUUUGACGGGUAGCCGGCCUGAGAGGGUGACCGGUCACAUUGGGACGGGGAUACGGCCCAGAGUACUACGGGGGGCGGAAGUGGGGAAUAUUGCAGAAUGGGCGCAAGCCUGAUGCAGCGUGGCCGCGGGAGGGAUGGGGGCCUUAGGGUUGUGAACCUCUUUCGCUCAUGGUCAAGCCGCAACAAUGGUUGUGGUGAGGGUAGUGGGUAAAGAAGCGCCGGCUAACUACGUG